rnacentral:ncRNA from 2 species
UUGAUAUCAAGAGUAUGGCGAGAGUACUGGCUCGAAGACCCAUCAGCAACCCUUAGAAAUAAGAAGGUGCUAAAUCCAGCCAAUAGCAGAAAUGUUAUAUGGAAAGAUAAGAC